UUCUUCUCCAGAUGCCUGACAGCUCAGUGGCUUAAUAAUUAACUUUCUGGGGACUGAGACACUGUUUUUAUCCAAGAAAAAUGUGUUCAGCCUGUCCACCAAUGAGCCCUGUUGGCGGCACCAAUUUCCACAAGCAACAAUCUACAGUGAUUAUGACAGAGCAAACUGAGACAUAAAGUUAUCCACAGGCGUUCAGAAAGUAGCUGGCAGAAUUCACCUGGAGCCUGGGAAUCCUGUUGUCCAUUCCUCCAGUUAACCCACAGCACCUCUGGUCACAGUUAUCCUUUUCCUGACUAUAGGAUUAUCCCAGGAGUAUUGAAGCUCUUCUAUGAUAAGGUUGCUUUGUGUGCAGGUUCACAGUGGUGAAAUAGCUGUACCAGCAGGAGUGUGUAACAGUGCUCCAUGGACAUGUGGAAGACUGGAGAUUCAGCUACCUGCAGAAGUACAUGAUAUCACCAUAAUUUGAUAAGUUUCCUGGAAUUAAUCUUGCCUCUUGAAUAGAAACCUUUGGAAGCAACUUGUAUGAGACACAUGGAAAAACUUCCACUGGCUUGAAGAAGCAGAGAAAAUCAGCACUACCAGGAUCUCACAGGAUGAAACCUCCUCUCACCCCUGGAAUGGAACUGCAUAAACACAAAAUUCACCGUAAGCUCUUGGCUUCUGAAACCUAAAGCAGGAUCAGCAACAUAUUGCUUAAUUUGAAAGUAUUUUGAGAACCUGGGGGACAGCACUGGCACAAGAACCUGUGGAUCAUGACAUUCCUGUGGAAUUCCCUUGGGAAAGCAGCGCUUUGAACCAUCAGGUGCUGUCAGCAUCUUUGGUCCCCCACAUUUGCUGCAGUUCCCGGUGCUUUGAGAGGCUUCCUGACCUCUGCUCACUGCAGAUCUGGCACUGAAUCUCUCAUGGAGCUGCUCAUCUCAAAUCCUGCUUGGCAGUUCUACUGAGGGAAGGGGAGCAAUGGGUAAAAAUCCUUAUUUCCCAACAGGAUUGGGACACAAAC